UACGGAGGGUGCAAGCGUUGUUCGGAUUCACUGGGCGUAAAGGGUGCGUAGGUGGCCAGGUAAGUUUGGUGUGAAAGCUCGGAGCUUAACUCCGAAAAGUCAUUGAAUACUAUCUGGCUGGAGGGUCGGAGGGGAGACUGGAAUUCUCGGUGUAGCAGUGAAAUGCGUAGAUAUCGAGAGGAACACCAGUGGCGAAGGCGAGUCUCUGGACAACUCCUGACACUGAGGCACGAAAGCCAGGGGAGCAAACGGG
rnacentral:rRNA from 1 species